AGAGAUAGAACAAACAAAGGCUGGGAAGAUGCAGAGCACGAAUGAAGCUAUCAACAGAAAAUGGUGAAGUCAGAAUGAGAGUAGAAAGAGAGAGAGAGAGAGAAAGAUCUGUUGUGGCCACGCUCAUGCACUGCCUCUUCCCUGGCUCUACCUCUUUCUUAUCC
rnacentral:pre_miRNA from 1 species